AGAAGCAGAAUCCUCGAGCCCCCCUUCCACUCCGGUCUCUCAAGAUUCAGACCCCACAAGCCCCCCUUCCACUGCGGUCUCUCAAGCAGGCAGUCCACUCCCCGAGGAGCUCCACCUGAUCUCUCACA